GACGAACGCUGGCGGCGUGCUUAACACAUGCAAGUCGAACGGAAAGGCCCUGCUUUUGUGGGGUGCUCGAGUGGCGAACGGGUGCGUAACACGUGAGUAACCUGCCCUUGACUUUGGGAUAACUUCAGGAAACUGGGGCUAAUACCGGAUAGGAGCUCCUGCUGCAUGGUGGGGGUUGGAAAGUUUCGGCGGUUGGGGAUGGACUCGCGGCUUAUCAGCUUGUUGGUGGGGUAGUGGCUUACCAAGGCUUUGACGGGUAGCCGGCCUGAGAGGGUGACCGGCCACAUUGGGACUGAGAUGCGACCCAGACUCCUACGGGAGGCAGCAGUGGGGAAUAUUGCACAAUGGGCGGAAGCAUGAUGCAGCAACGCCGCGUGCGGGAUGACGGCCUUCGGGUUGUAAACCGCUUUCGCCUGUGACGAAGCGUGAGUGACGGUAAUGGGUAAAGAAGCACCGGCUAACUACGUG
rnacentral:rRNA from 1 species